AUUGAACGCUGGCGGCAGGCUUAACACAUGCAAGUCGAGCGGGGGAAGGUAGCUUGCUACUGGACCUAGCGGCGGACGGGUGAGUAAUGCUUAGGAAUCGGCCUAUUAGUGGGGGACAACAUCUCGAAAGGGAUGCUAAUACCGCAUACGUCCUACGGGAGAAAGCAGGGGAUCUUCGGACCUUGCGCUAAUAGAUGAGCCUAAGUCGGAUUAGCUAGUUGGUGGGGUAAAGGCCUACCAAGGCGACGAUCUGUAGCGGGUCUGAGAGGAUGAUCCGCCACACUGGGACUGAGACACGGCCCAGACUCCUACGGGAGGCAGCAGUGGGGAAUAUUGGACAAUGGGGGGAACCCUGAUCCAGCCAUGCCGCGUGUGUGAAGAAGGCCUUAUGGUUGUAAAGCACUUUAAGCGAGGAGGAGGCUACUUUAGUUAAUACCUAGAGAUAGUGGACGUUACUCGCAGAAUAAGCACCGGCUAACUCUGUGCCAGCAGCCGCGGUAAUAC
rnacentral:rRNA from 1 species